rnacentral:lncRNA from 1 species
CAACAGCAAAGGGAGCAGGAUAGGCACUUCUUGGUGUGCCGAGGUCAUUGAAGGCUUUGUAGAAGAGCCAAAACACACAGGGAGAAAUUACACAACCCAUUGCUGUACCGAUGACUUGGCUCACAAACAUUGAGCGGGGGGAAGCCAAGGUUAGAUAGCCGGUCUUGAAAUCUUGGGUUAGAUCGGAGGCUGUUGAGACAAUGUUCAUCAUAACUCCGCAUGCUGCGAGUCCAGCAAGAACACCACCAUGUGCAGAGCCGGCCCAUGCCCCGAUCAUGAAGAUGGCCACCUUUCCGUAAGUGGAGGCCAGAGACCAAUCAGUGAGGCCACAGCCAUAUGCAUUACAGAAAGCCAAGCUGGGCGCAAAGAGGUAGAUGACCAAUAUAUAGUACCAUUUGAGUUGGGGAAAUAUGUGGGGGACAGUGGCAAUUGAGACUGCAGCAAUGGAAACAUAGCCUCCAACAGCAAACCAUGCUGGAAUUUGGUCUUUGAGAAAGAGUUGGGUGCGGCGCUGGUCAUCAUAUGAGAGAGCAGAGGUCACAGCUGGAGAGACCUGAUCUUCAAUCGGGAGAAUGUUGUUCACAUCUUUGCCUCGGAGUUGGGAUUGCAAGGCGAUGAGGGUUCGACUUAGCACCUUCAAGAAGUUGUAUAGCCCGUCACCGAGGAUCAUGGCAAUGGCAAUGAAGAUCUAAUGAAUUGAUUAAAUACAGUACAGGGGUAGGUAAGUUUGAAGAUAACAAGUAUAACUUGUUCAAAACAAAAGUAGUAGUAGAAAAGAAAACAGAUCACACACCUUGUAACCUUGAAGGCCAUUCAUGCUUUUUGGGCUGAGUUCAUUGCUGUACCAAUCGCCACUCCUGUUUUCUAUGAGAGGCCACAUUAAACCCCAAGACAGAAUACCUCCAAGAAGAACAGAUAUGUUCACAAUGUAGGGGCAAAUCAUCCCUACUCCAACAUAUGUGGCCGAGAAAUCAAAGAAGAACCUGCAAAUAGAAAUUCAUGAAUCAUGAUCGAUCGAGCUACGUACCACAUUACAUUACAUAUAUAUAUAUAUAUAUAUAAUCGGACAGAUUCAAAUAAAAAUAAUGUAUAAGUAGUACUUGUUCUGAUAUGCUUUGAGGCCGAGCGUAGGGAAGCUUGCAAAUCCACAAUCACUUCCAGCAGUAUAGAACCACUGAAAGAAACCCCACAAGAAACUGAAGGAGAAGAACUUUCCCAACUCCUUUACUUGUUUCCUAAUUGAAUAAUAAUAAUCCAAAUAUUAAAAAAAAGGAGUUUAGAUUAGAACCAUAAAAUAAAUAAAAAAUAAUUUUGAAAUGAUUAAUUUUGAAGAAGGAGUUACUUGGCUAGCUUGGCUCCUUGAGGAGUGUGGAAACUGUUGAUAAGAUGAGCAGUUGCAGUGCCACUUGGAUAUGUCAAUUUGAAGUCUAUGAUCAUGAUCUGAAACCAAUCUCAUGUUAUCUUGACUAGUGAGUGAGUGUUGAAAGAGUUGAUUCACUAAAGUUCUCAUAAGUUUAUUAAGUACCUUUCGAAGAGGCACGACAGAGAAGAGGCCGAGAAAGCUGACAACAAAGAGAAAGCCAAUGAACCAAAGCAAGCCUGGAUCUUUGAUAUCGCUCGUACUGUUGUCUGUGGAUUGUUGGGCAAUGCGUGCACUCAUGCCAAACAGAUAGUUCCCAAAACCUCCUGUCAGUUUGUACAUUUACUUGACACAUUACGUACUUAUAAAUAAAUAUAUAAGCUUGGCAUAUCAUUAUAUCAUACAUACAUGAAUCAUGAUAGAUGAUAGAUGAUAGAUGAUAGAUGAUACAAUACACCAUCAAUUUCAAUUCAAUCAUCUUUCCCCUCACUAUUUAUCUUCAUAUGAUAUUGGGACCACCACCACGCCACUUGCCUAAACUCAAUCUCUUUUUUCAUUUUUCAUUUUUUUUCUCCACCUAGAAAGAGCAUUUUCAGCUGGAGGGACUAGCCCCAGGCAAGGGACCCCCUAGGCCCCCAAUCUUGUUUCCAACAGCCAAGGAUUGCUAGGACAAGCGUCCAAAGGCAAGACUUGCUUGGGCAAGCUGACUUUACGCUGACAUCAUUGUAACGUCAGCAGCCAAUUUAAAUAUUAAAAAAUUUGAAGAAAAAAAAAACUAAAAAAUUUAGAAUUUUUUGUCUAUAAAUACCUAACCAUAUUCUUCAAUUCCCACACAAAAACUCCAUAUAAAUUCCUUUUCUCACAUCUCAUGUGAAUAGUGGGCCCUUCAGUUACCAUGGUAAUGGGUGCGAAUGCAUAAAAAAAAUUGCUAAGGUAGUCACUAUUCAUAUGAACAGUAACAGGGUCAGUCCUGAGUUUUCAAAGGCCCAGGGCGAAAAUCUAAAGUGUGCCCUAUACACAUUAAUCACUAAUACUAGUAUACUUCUUGUUUUAUCAACUAAGCAUUGGGUUUUUUGAGAAAAUAUUUAUUCGAAAAUAUUUUUAGACUUUGAGCAAUGUCUUUCAUAUUCCUAAAUAAUGAAAACAAAUGUCCAACUAUAAAUAGUAUAUCAGUGAGUUAAAGAAUUUCUUUUAAAACUCUCGUAAUAGAUCCUUUGUUCCAAAAUUUCAGAUUCAUCCCAAUAUCCUAUUCCUAAAAAUUAUGGAAAAAUAUUAAAUCAAUUUAUAAUAAUAUAAUAUAAUACUUAUUAUAAUAUAAAAAUUUGGAGCCCUCUUGAAUGAUGGGCCCAGGGCAGUCGCACAGACUGUCUCUGGGUAGGGUCGGGACUGAACAGUAACUGCCCUUGCCUCCCUUUACCUUUUGUCAUGGCAAAUGGGUGGAAUUCCUGUAAGUAUGCAAAGCCAAUCUUUUCCUGCUCUAAAAGUCUCUAAAACACCCUCGGGAAUGAGGACAGGCGGCCUAUCAGCAUUCAGCAACAUGUAAUCCCAAACUCUGACCAUGCACAAUCCGCAACAUAACGACUCUCACUAUUUAUUUAAUUACAUCAAAUACUAAUAAUGUAAAAUCAUGCCGGCCUAAGCGCAGCAAAAUUCUUUUUAAAUUUAACAACAACAAAACUAAUUUUCAUACUCCAUGGAUGAAUAGUAUAUGCGAAAAACAUGGUUGGUUGGUUUUAAUAAUUUCCUUGUUUCAUAAAAAUAAAAGAAGAUGUUGUCAUUUUACCGAGCUAAGCCAGCAUGACAGAAAGAAACUAAUAAUUAACGACGUCAACAAAAUCCAAAUGAAGGAAGCUAGCUGGAUCUAAUCUUCACCUUCAUCUUCAUCUUCAUCUUCAUGGAUGGCAGAUAGCAGAAGAUCGAUAUGUUAAAUGUUAAUUAAUGUCAUCAGCUUAUUAAUUAGCAAAGCAUAAUGAAUGAAUGAAUGAAUGAAUGAAUAUAAUGAAGGUAGUAGAUAGACUGACAGAUAAUAAAAAAUCAGAAGAGAUAGAGUCUAGAGAUGAUAUAUAGAUAGAUAGAUAGAUACCGCUAAAGGCGAUGCUGGAGGAAGCAACGACGCAGGUCUGGAUAACAGUGUUCUCUUGCCUGGUGAAGGGUUGUUUGAGGAGGCCACACCUGUCGAGGAACUUGGUCCAAGUCCUGACAAAGAAGAAGCCCAAGAGUCCAGCAGAGACGUUGAGAGAAGGAAUAAUACCGGUGGUGAGGUUGAGCUUCAUCACUAUCACACUGAAGAGCACGCUCAGCACAAAGCUUAUGAAAAACGCUCUCACUGUCAGCUGCUCCUUCCAUGACGGCACUAUUUGCUGCUCAAAUAUCCUUUCCACUGACAACUCCUCCUCCACCCCCAGAUUCUCCUUCUCUUCCUCUUCCUCGUACGUGGUCGUCUUCUUCGGAUCCAGCGCCUCAAGCUCUAAAUCAUCUUUUCUCAAUCCUUGUACAAGUCCUGCUUCUGACGCAUGAUGAUCCCUUUGGUACUCUAACUGAUCAUCUUGUUCAAGUUGAUGUUGCUGCUGAGUACCCAUAAUUAAUAUUAUUUAUGAUAGCCUAAUGUAUUUAUGGGUACUCGUGAAUGUAUUGAUCAAUCUUGUUGAUUUGAGUUUCAGUUUGAGUAUGAGGCCGGGCCACAUGUAAUGUAGUGCUUUAGCCUUUAUAUAUAAAAGGGAAUACUAGCAACCUUCUCUCUAACAUUCUCUUUUGUACUUUCUCUCUUCUUGUUAUGACAUGUGUCAUUUUAUUUACACUUAAAAUAAUAUUAUUAAUAAUCAAAUAAGCUAGUUUUUGUUUCCAAAUUUAUCCUUAUUAAAUGAAAUAUUUAAUUUAAAUAAAUUGACUUCUCUAAUUUCUUCAAUUUAAAAAAUAUUUUCUCUCUCCAUCUCACUCUCUCAAUCCUCUCUCUAUCCUUUGUAGCGCCCCACAACCCUUCUUCUACCUCGCCACUUCUCCCCAAAACAAACACUAAUACCCAGCAAUGACCCAUGAUCAGUACCCAGAUAAGCAUAUGAAAGAAAUCCACUUCUUCUCCCCCCUCAUUACCACCAAACAUCUCCCUCAUCCCUACCCAACAGCCCCCCACCGUCCAAAGAUUCCCCCCCCCCCCACCUGCCCACCUCCUUCGCUUUCUCUGUUGUUUGUAAUUGGACAAUUUUUUAUUUUAUUUCUCAAAUCUCACCACCAAAGCACUAUUUUCUAUUUUUAUUUGGUUUCGUUUAUUAAAAAAAGUGUUUGAACUUUCAUGAUUCGGAAAGCAAAGGGUAUGUAGACGUUAGAGAGAGAUGAAAAAUCUUGGAUUUUUUUUUCUCAUUGCACAAAAGAGUAAUAGUAAUGCUGCUGCUGCUGAGAACGAAAGAAACCAACUUUUUUAUUAACACCAAAAUCAAGCAUUUGUUGUUUUCUCUCUCUAGGCUCAUGUUGGGAGAUUCACUAUAAUACCCAAUAUAUGAGCUUAAAUUAUAAAUAAAAAGCCCUAUAUGAAAUAGACUUUAGAAUUAGAAACACACUCAAAGCCUAUUUACAACAUAACAAAAAGGCUUUUAAGUUAUUUUAAAUUACAAAACUGUCAUUGAUUUCUUAAAACAAACCCAACCCAAAAACCUCAUGAAAAAACCCAAAACGCUCAAUGAGGCAUCAAAAUAAUUUAAUAAUUAAAAUUAAAGGAGAUUCACUAUUAUACCCAAUAUAGAAGCUCAAAUUAUAAAAAUACCCUAUAUGAAAUGGACUUUAGAAACACAUCCAAAAUCCAUUUACAACAUAAUAAAAAGGCUCUUAACUUCUUUUAAAUUAUAAAAAUGCCAUUAAUUUCUUAAAACAAGCCCAAUCCAAAAAUUUAUAAAAAAGCCCAAAACACUCAAUAGGGUAUUAAAGUAAUUUAAUAAUCAAAAUUAAAUUAAAUAGGGCCAGUUGUCGCUUUUUGGGGUUUUUUUGGGUAUGUUUAUAAAAAUUAAAUAGUGUAAGGUUUAUUUAUAGUUUUAGUGCUAAAAAUGGGUAUAUGACUAAAUAUCUCUAAAAUUAAAUUCAAUAGGAUCAGCUAGAGUGUUGUUAUUUCCACCCCGUGUCCUAUUUUCCCACCCACCUUAUCUUCAAAUUUGUAAAGACAAAUUUAUCCCAUUAUAAAAUGACUUCUAAGUACUUCUAUCUAUAACAACAUUAAACUUUUGAUAUAUAAAAAAAAACUAAAACUAAUUAUUUUAAAAAUAAAAACAAAAACCCAACAGCCACCAAAACUCCCUCACCCACCAACUUGUUAGCCAUCGCACCCCGCCGGCAGCGACCCCCUCCCCCCUUGACAUCGACAAAUCCUCAUUUAUCUCUCUAUCUCUCUGUCUCUUUGUCUCUCUCUAUCUCUCUCUCUAUAUGUUAUGUGCCGAUCCAAACAACUCCCACUUGGUGGCACUGAUUCAGAUGCUGAGGAAGAAAAGAUGCAUCUUCUCUCACAAACCUGGGUAAGACCAUAAAAGGAAGAGAGGAAAAAGAAUCUGAAUUGUUUGUUGUACUGAUGCAGACCCUACCUUCCUACACAGUCAAAAUUCUAAGCACAAUUUGUUUUGACAGGUUUUCCUUUUUUGAUAUUUCUAGAGAUUCUAGACUUUGAAGAGGAUUUGUAGCCGUAAUUUUUAUCUAGUCUGUCUUGUGGGAGUGGGAAAAGAAAGAGAGAGAAAAGGAGCGAGUAGGGUGGUUGACUAGGUUGGGUGGGUGGGUGGGUGGGGGAGCUUUAGUUGAAUUAAUUUAAUACUAAUUUCAUAAACAUAACAAUUUGCUAGAAUUAAUAAUUAAAGAAUAUUUUAGGAAUAAUGAUGGGUGGAAAGAUAGGAUUGUGUUUUUUUAAAAUUUACAUGGUGGGUGGAAAGAUAAGGUUAGUGGGAAAAUAGGAUAGAUGGGUGGAAAUAUCAGCACUCGUCAGCUAUUAUUUUUUGGGUUUUUUUUAGUUUUGUUUAUAUAAAUUAAAUAGUAUAUAGUUUAUUUAUAAUUUUAGUGCUAAAAAUAAGUAUAUGACUAAAUAUUUUUUUUUUUUGGGUCUGAUUUUCUCUCUCUAGGCUAGGCCCAUUCAUUCUUGACUUUAUUUAUUAUUUGCAAGAAAUACAUCGAAUUAUAUUGAAUGGCUGAGUUUGCCUUUGAAUAUAUAAUAACAAGAAGAUACACACUACACUUCGUACUAUAAUACAAAUUAUGAUAAAGAGUGACGGUUUGGUUCGUUGGUUUUUCCAAGGAGUGAGAAAGAGAAAAGAGAGAGAGAGCUGGAAAUUUAGAAUUAAUAAGAUAUACGAUGAGUUUUAAGGUAGCUUUUCCACAUUGCUUGCAUUUCGAUUGCAUGAUAUAUGGAUUUAAUAGACAGCGAGAGGAGGCUGGCUGAUGACUGGAUGAGAUCAUGAGAUCAACUAAAUUUGUUGUAUAUCUCUAAUAAUUACUAUUAUAUUAUACUAAUAACCUCUACUGAUAAUUGUAUACUAUCUGACUCUAAGACUGUAAAUUGUACAUAAUAAAUACCAUACCAUGGUAUAUGGCUCUCAGCCCAGACAGCCUCUCUCUAUUGAGAAAGACCGCAUUUGGUUCAUGGAAAAGAAGGUUUGGGAAUGGAAAAUUAAUUAUUUUCCCAAGUUUGGUAAGUCCAAGCAUGGAAAAUAGUUUUUUGGUACAUGGGAAAAAUAGUAGGGCAAAAUGUAACCCUCUUCCUUCCUUGAGUUUCAUUUUCCCUUCCCAUGGGAAAACUUUGGGAAAAUGAGCCAGUAUUAAACGAAUAUUUAAAUGCAUUAUUUUUUAUUUAUUUGAUUUCAUAUAUUGAUAUAAUUGAAAAAUUAAACAAACUUUGUUUUACAUUCCUACGAAAACCAAACAUUGUAAAGAAAAUAAAUUAGUAUUUCCUAGUUAUUUUUUCAGCAUUACCAAACAUGAAAAUGAAUAUUUCAUUUUCUAUUCCUUAAGAAAAUACAUAGGAAAGUAUUUCCCACCAAAUUUUUUCCCCGAACUAAACAUGGAUAUCAAUGUCCAUAUGUCGCGGGGAUAUCACUAUCCACUGUCUGUCACUUGCAAGUCGUAAGCUCUCUCUCUCUCUCUCUCUCUCUCUCUCAUUGAAAUUGAGUUGAAUUGCGCUCUUUUACUUUUCAUUAUUUGCAUUGGUCCACCAGUGCCCACGCACCUUGGAAUCUACAGCAUAAUAUUAUAUAUCCCCCACGCACCAAAGCCCUUUUCACACCACAUCUUGGAAUCUACAGCGUAAUAUCAUAUAUCCUCCACGCACCAAAGCCCUUUUCACACCACACAUUGGAAUAAUAUCAUAUAUCCCUAAACCCUUGGAAUAAUAUCAUAUAUGCCUAAACCCUUUGAAUAAUAUCAUAUAUCUCUAAGAGCAUCCACAGUGGGAGGGUGUAUAAUGAGGUGUAUGUUAAAUAUACAUCAUUUAUGAUCUAAAUCACCCGCAAUGGCGAGGUGUAAACGAGUAUAAAUUUGCAUAACCACCAUGAGAUGUAAAUUUAGAUGCAAAUGUACAUCUUUUUUUACAUCUCUUGCAGGUGGGACCUACAUGAGAAAAGAUAAGAAAAAGUGGACAAAAGUGGGACCUACAGGAAAAAAGGUGAAAGAAAUCAAUUAUACCUCUUUAGAUUUACAUCUUCCCCACUGGAACAAAAAUCACAUUUACAACCUCCGAAGAUGUAAAGAAGAUAUAAAAAUAGCUUUACACCCCCGAAAAUACACCCUCCCAUUAUGAAUACUCUAAACCCUUGGAAUACACCACACCUUGGAAUCUACAGCAUAAUAUUAUAUAUCCUGUCCUUUUCACAAGUUUCAAACUUCCAAUAUGUUAAAUAUCCCAUCCCAUCCCACCAAAAAAUAAGAAAAUAACUUCCAUAAAAGCAGAAUGGAAAAUCAGCUCCUUAAAUAAAAUGAUUGUGAAUUAAGAUGUUGCUAAUUGAAGGACUUAGAUUAAUUCAUGUUGGCUUGGACCAAACUACAACUGAUCCAUCCAUCAUCUAAUAUAUUAUUGAAAUUGAAUUAAUUAAGGCAAGCAUGAGGAAAGUUGAUAUUUUCAGUUUUUUUUUUUUUUUUUUGGGGGUUCGAAAUCUGAUGUCAUUGAACAACCCAAACGGGAAGGAGCAAUACAGAGAUAAAAGCAGAGCAAUACAAACAGAGUUGGAUCAAGAAACAACUAGAACACAACUUCUAACCCUGAACAAAAUUGAACUAAUUAAUAGGGGGGCAUGGGAGCCCAUCAGAGACGAGGACACGCAUCAAAGACGGAGGUGGUCGAUUGACCCAACUUUCCAGUUCCACCGCUCUUGCACCUAUCAAUGUUGCGACGUGAGCAGCUCGAUUCCUUUUGCGGGGGAUCCAGUUCCAUUCGAUAUGGGGGAAGGCAUACGAGACCUUCCUAAUCUCUUGAAUGAGGGGAUAAAUUAUCCAGAUUCUAUUGCCAACAGCCCCUUUGAUCCCAUUGUGGUUGUGGAUGCAUCGUUCGUCCAUCCAAUUCCAACAUCAACAUCAACAUCCAUGUGAUGUUCCCCGGGUUGAAAGAAACUUGUACGCCUACAACUUUGAAAUGCAAUAUGAAUCAGAAGAUCAGACAGCAGCUAGCAAGCAACCAAGCAUAACAAGAAUAUAUAUAGACCAAGACGGCCAUCAAUAAAAUCGGCUCACUUUAGCAAACUAGUCGAACCCGCGGCUUUGACUCAAUGAAAAUUCGACUUCUUAAAUGUUAGUUGUACAUAGAGAGAAUAGAAAGAAUUUUUGUAAGUGUGAUUGUGAUACCGCUGCAUAGAGUACGCUACAUGAUUUUAGCAAUUGAGGUACCCUUUUCUUUUCUUAUGAAGGGCGCAAAUUUCUCCCUCCUCUAAAUGAUAACCUUUUGAUUCGGAGAGAGAGAGAAAUUAUAGAAUUGGUAAUAAGGGGUGGAUUGUCAUUGUCAAAGAUACAUAAUAUCUUCUUAGCUGGAACUUGGAAGAUGCCAAAAAAGAAUAUUCCGCUGGUUUUAUAUUAAUAUGCGUCAACUCUUAAACGAAUAAUAUUGUAUUUUGGGUUAUAUCGAGACAGUUUUCUAUUGUUUGAUGAAUUUUCCAAGAAAAGGACGUGCAAAACAAAACGUUAGCUAUGGAAGUGAGAAAUUGAAAAUGUUCUAUCUUUCCACUUCGUUUUGAUUCUAAGAUUGUUUUUUCACCCCCCACAAUUAAAGCUGUCUUAGGUAGAUUCUGAAUUUCGGGAUAUUAUUAUUUUGCAAGGAACUCUUCAUUUGAUUUUUGUUGUUCUUGUCAUUCUCAACUGCAUUACCUUCAUUGUUACGAAGAAGCACUGCUUGAUAUAUUUAGCGGUUGCUUUCACCAUUUCACUAGGAACAUAUUUGGGGUACUUCCGUACACAGAUGAAAAAGAAAUUUAACAUCAAAGUAAGCUUUCUUUCUUUGUCCAUCAUCGUGUGUGGUUCCUUACUAACUGAUAAUUUUUGGUUUUACCGUGAAUGAGUAGUUUUCUUUUCUUCGUCUAAUAUUAGUAUUUGCCUCAUAUUGUCUAUUCAUAUUUUUAAUCCUGUACUCUUCUGCAUUAAGGUUGCUCUCUCUUUUUAAUUCAAGGGUGCAAAAGCCACAUGCUAUAGAAAAAUAGAGAAAAUUUGGGUGUGGUUGGGUAGAUGGAUUGCAUUUUCUAUUAUUGUAAAGAGGGUGCGAUUGCUAUAUGAUUGACCAUUGGCAAGUGUAAUGUUAUGAAUCCAUGCAUUCUUAGGAAAGAAGAUAGUUCCAUGUGAAUAUACUAAUUACGUACCUUCCAGGUAUUUAUGAUCUGAUUGCGAUAAAGUUUUCACAAUCUUUUAACUUAUGCCUUCUGUUGGUUAUGUUUCAUGGUUAUACUUGAAUUACACUACAUUGUUGUGGGAAAUGUUUUUAUUUUCAGGGUAGUGAUAGUUCCUUGGAUGAUUGCAUCUACCAUCUUAUCUGCCCAUGCUGUGCAUUAUGUCAGGUGAUUAUCGUUGCGGAACCUAUGCUUGCAAGAUAGUUGUCAAAAUGGCUGAUUGUAGUUAUCACAAGUGUUUGUGGUACCCAGUGAAGAAGUAAGAUGUUUAGCCCCAUGCAUGUUCUUUCUUUUUCAAUUGAUGCUUUGCCCCGCCUUUCCUCUUACUGGUAGUCAUUUGUGAGUGUGAUUCAGAUGAAUUAAAACCUCAGUGUGCUUGGAAUAUUAUGCCUUUCAUGGUUGCAGGAUUCUUUAUGUGGUUUUUAUAACUGAUUGAUGUCAACCUCUUUUGUCAUGACUUUCAUGCAUAUUACUAGAAUAAGCAUUAGAAUUUUCUAAUCUCUAUUGUGACUGACGUUAACAUUUCUCUUCCAAAUUACUUCUACUAAGACAUUAACACUGAUGAGUUCCUUAAUAUGAGGUUUUUCCUCUCUGUUAUCAUAUCAUAUAAUGAUAAGGAGGCAUCAUAUAUAUAAAUUUCAUUCUUGUUGUGAAGCUUUCUCAAGUAAAGUAUAUAAUUACCUUCACCAGAUUAGACACUUGAUCGUUGCAGCACAACUUAAGAAAUCCAACUGAAGGACGUAAAGUCAUAUAAACCUUAAACCAUUCCAUGUUUGCAAUUUGACAAGUGGUCAUCUUUUGACACAAAUCCACUUUAUACAGGUUUUGCAUUGUAGUUUUGCACAAACUACAUUGCAGUUUUCAUUUAAUUACAAUUGGAUUUUUGCUCUUUCCUUGGCCUUCAACCUCACCAAUUUGAAGAGUAGAGGAUACCCAUAUGAGGAAUUGAGUGGGCAAGAGAAGAGUAGAACUACCCAAGAGCAAGGGAACUCAAAAUUGGACUUUUGGAAACUGCAUUGCAGUUUUCAUUUAAUUACAAUCUUUGCUCGUCUUUGGCCUUCAACCUCACCAAUUGGAAGAGUAGAGGCUACCUAAAUGAGGAAUUGGGUGGGCAAGAGAAGAGUAGAACUACCCAAUAGCAAGAGAACUCAAAAUUGGACUUUUGGAAACUCCAUUGCAGUUUUCAUUUAAUUACAAUUGGAUUUUGAUCUUUCAUUGGCCUUUAACCUCACCAAUUUGAAGAGUAGAGGCUACCCAUAUGAGGAAUUGGGAGGGCAAGAGAAGAGUAGAACUACCCAAGAGCAAGGGAACUCAAAAUUGGACUUUUGGAAACUGCAUUACCAGGAACAGAGUAUUUUACCAACAUGUAUUGAAUAUAAAAAAAAAGGCUUAUUAUGCUCUGCACCAUUUACAACUACCGAAAAGCUCAAAUGCACUCGUCACCAAUUAUUGGGCUGGAGCAAGUGCAAUUUUGGCCACCUGCCAAACCAAAUUAAAAUUACACAGGAGAAAUUGGGUGAGUUAUUAGAUGCACCGCCACACAUCAUACAGUGGAGCUACGAAAUGCGCUUACGAAGCAGCUUGAUUCUCUAAUGGCAAAAAAUGAGGUGUAUUGGCGGCAACGCUCAAGAGCUACUUGGUUGAAAGCGGGAGAUCGCAAUUCAAAAUUCUUCCAUUACAAAGCCUCUAGCCGCCGGAGAAGAAACACUAUCUCAGCGCUUGAAGAUGAGCAUGGACAUUGGCAGACAACAGAGCAAGGUUUAACACAAACUGUGGUUAAUUAUUUCCAGCACUUGUUUUCUUCCACAGGGUCUUCCGAUUAUACAGAAGUAGUGGACGGUGUAAGGGGGCGUGUCACAGAGGAGAUGAACCAGGCUCUUUUGGCGGAGUUUACUCCAGAAGAAAUUAAAAUUGCACUUUUUCAAAUGCACCCAUCUAAGGCACCAGGCCCAGAUGGCUUCUCUCCUUUUUUCUAUCAGAAAUAUUGACAGAUUGUAGGUGAGGAUGUGGUGGCGGCAAUCUUGCACUUCUUCAAAACGGGCAAAUUACUUAAGAAGAUAAACUUCAAGCAUGUGGCCCUCAUCCCUAAAGUCCAUGAACCAAAGAACAUGAUGCAAUUACGUCCCAUCAGUCUAUGUAAUGUCCUUUAUAAGAUUGGGGCGAAAGUGCUCGCCACCCACCUAAAAGCAAUCCUUCCUACUCUGAUUAGUGAUACUCAAAGUGCUUUUGUUUCAGGCCGUGCAAUCUCAGACAAUUCAAUCGUGGCUUUUGAAUUGCUACACAUGAUGCAUAAGAAAAAUCAUGGACGACAAGGGUAUCUGGCUCUCAAGAUUGACAUGAGUAAAGCAUAUGAUCGGGCAGAGUGGAGUUUUCUGGAGGCCCUAAUGAAAGGAAUGGGUUUUGCCCCACGAUGAAUCCAAUUAAUCAUGGAGUGCGUGACGACGGUUUCGUAUUCUUUCAUGUUGAAUGGAAAUUCAGUUGGUUAUGUCAUUCCACAGAGAGGACUUAGACAGGGUGACCCCCUUUCACCAUAUUUAUUCUUACUAUGCGCUGAGGCUCUCUCAAGUCUUAUUUUGCAGGCGGAACGACGUAAUUUACUUCAUGGAGUGAAUCUAUGUCGGGGGGCUACGUCUGUUAGCCACCUUUUUUUCGCUGACGACAGCUUCUUGUUCUUGCGGGCAAACCAACAGGACUGUGAACAAAUGAGCAUUAUUUUCCAAAAAUAUGAAAUGGUGUCAGGUCAGAAAAUACACUUGGAGAAAAGUUGUGUCUCCUUCAGUAAUAAUAUGGACCGUACUGAUCAAGAUAACCUAGCUGCAGUUCUGGGAGUUAGGAGGGUUGACCAGCAUGAUGUUUACUUGGGGUUGCCUACUCAUGUGGGAAGAUCAAGAAGGCAAUGCUUCAACUCUCUUAAGGAGCGCAUUUGGAAGAAAAUACAAGGUUGGAAGGCAAAAUUGUUAAGUUUUGCAGGGAAAGAAAUUCUCCUAAAAGUGGUGGCACAAGCUGUGCCUAUUUAUAUGAUGAAUUGCUUCCUCAUCCCUAAAUGUCUAUGUGACGAAAUUCAACAAGUGAUGGCUCACUACUGGUGGGGUGAGCAAGAUGGCCAACGAAAAAUACACUGGCUCAGCUGGAACAAAUUAUGCUUGCCUAAACAGGAGGGUGGGCUUGGUUUCCGUAAUUUAUAUGCCUUCAAUAUGGCGCUCUUGGCCAAACAAUUAUGGCGCUUGAUUCAAACCCCAAACUCUUUAGUGGCACGCAUCCUGAAAGCCCGUUACUUCAAGAAUUGCUCUAUAUUAGAGGCACAAAUCGGACAUUCCCCCUCCUAUAUUUGGCAAAGCUUAUGUAAAGCACGUGUCCUUAUUGAAAAGGGAUCUCGGUGGCGAAUCGGGAAUGGCCACAGUGUGCGUAUAUGGGGAGACCGAUGGCUCCCUAACUCUGAAUCUUUCCAAGUUUCCUCACCACAAGCAGAGGGGUUUGAUGAGGCAAAAGUGAACUCUCUUAUUAAUCCAGUCACUGUGCAGUGGAAGGAGAACCUUUUGCAAGCUUGGUUCUCGGCCGAGGAAGUGAAUUGCAUUCGAAACAUCCCUUUAAGCUUCAGACACCCACCAGACAUCUUGAUUUGGCACUUUGAGAGAGAUGGUCAAUACACAGUGCGGAGCGGCCAUGAAGUUGCUCGUCGGGUUUUGCUCCGGCAAGACGGGGACGACACCAACAUGAAUGGAGGACCCAUUGUAGCUUGUGAACAGGUCUGGAAGAAGAUUUGGAAAGCCCGAGUACCACCAAAGGUUCUUAUAUUCAUCUGGCGCGCUCUCUUGAAUAUUUUACCCACUAAGGAUAAUUUGAUUCAUCGUAGUAUCUCUGAAUUGGGAGGCUGUGUUUUUUGUGGGGCUGAAGAAACUGUGGCCCAUGUGCUUCUCCGAUGCCCCAUGGCUAUUGCUUCUUGGUCUUUAUUUCCGGCCUGGGCACACUUUAAUACUGAUGCCACAGAGGAGUUCAAGAUGUGGUUCCAAGGAUUUGUUGCAGACCACCCACUUCAUGUGCUAGAGAAAGUCAUGGUGUGCCUAUGGAUGCUAUGGUAUGAGCGCAAUCAAAUGGCCUGGGCAGGACGUCAACGGAGUGCAACAGAAAUUGUUAGUGGAGCAAUGCACUGUUUGCAAGAGUUUCAGGAAGUACACCCCCUCCAAAGACCCAUACCUCACGUGCCAUUGCUAAAUGGGUGCGGCCACCGCCUGGAGCUAUUAAAAUAAAUGUGAAUGGAGUGUUUCAUGGUGAAUCCAGUUUUGGUGGGGUUGGUUUGGUGGUUCGUAAUUCUACAGGUGCCUUUCUUGCAUGCAAGUUGGUUGUGCUAAAUGGGAUAUCAAAUCUCAUGCAUGCCAAACUGGUUGCAUUAAGAGAAGGCUUAAUCUAUGCUGCCAAGUGGUCCAAUCUGGAAUGUCAUAUAGAAGGGGAUUCCCAAGGCGCUUUACACUCAAUACAACGGGGCCAAAUUGAUCUGUCCCAUCUUGGUUGCCUAACUGAGGAUUGUCAAACACUUUUGGCCAGCCAAGAGCGUGUUUAUUUGAGGGUUACAAAGAGGAGUGCAAAUGGGGUUGCAACAUGGUUGGCUCGAUAUGCUCUACACUCUCAGGGAAUAGCAGAAUGGGUUACUGAUCCCCCAGAAUUCCUACAAGAUGUUUUGUUCAUUGAUGUAAUGUAAUUUUCUUGUUGUGUACGUUAUCGGCAUAUGUGGUACUCUUUCCUACUCCGGAGUUUUUCCCUUGUGGUUUUCUCUGGGAAGGUUUUAACGAGGCCACGCAUGACAUGCCUUUUCUUCCUCCCUUCUAGUAGAAUGAAUUCAACCUUUUCAAAAAAAAAAAAAAAAAGGCUUAUUAUCACAAAACGUUCCUAACGUUUGCGAAACUAUCAUAUUACAUUUUUAAAUUUUUUUUUAUCACUCAUUAUCCCUAACGUUAAUAUAAAUACUCUUAAAUAGUCUUUUCAUUAAAAAAAUAGUUAAAUCCCGAAUUUUAUGAGGGAUAUAAUCCUCAACUCCCUUUUACCUCUCACGCUUCAAAUAUAUUUCCUCGUGGUCAUCGUCAACAUCAUCAGACCAUUUCUACGCUUUUUCUGAGAAAUAGGGUUUUUCAAUCGUGGGAAAUUGGGCGAUAAAGCUUCUGCAAAAAUGUCUGAGAGAAGAUGGAUGAGGCAAAUGAGCGUUGGGAGACCAAGACCAAACCUACAUUUGUGCACCCAAGGGUCUUGACCAGGUGUAGAAUCUCCAUAUCCAAGCAAUUGGAGAUGGCAGCGAGGCCUACGUUACUGACUAAAAGCUUUUCUAGAUGGAUCUCAACCAUGGAGGUGACUUGCUCUGCUAUCACCUGGAGAACCUUGUCCCAAUCGCCAGAGCACCUGAAAAGUUUCAGAGUCCUCAAAUUCUUCUUUUUUUCUCUGUUUUUUGCUUUUGGGCUUUAUUCGUCGAGUGUAAUAAAAUAACACAGGGAUUUUUGUGGCACUAGUAGUUCUGGGAAUUGGGUUUUACUGCCAACGUCUGAUGCAUUAAUUCUUAGUUAAUUUUUGUUUCUUUUUUGUUGUUUUUUGGUGUUGCAGAGUACAAAUCAGAGUAGCAGAGAAGCUUCAAAGCUCAGACUGAAACGACAAGUCGUCGGCAAGUGUGAUCGCAGUAUGCUUCUAGCCACGACGACGACAUGCCGGCAGAUCGCAAAAGAUUCGUCGUCGGCCUCCAUCGGCAGAUCGCAGCCGUUGAUUUGGGCUUGGAGCGAUGGCUGUUGCGGCAAAGCUUCUCGGCAAAAGUGUCCGGAAGUGAUUUUUUUAUGGAAGUCAUGUAGGGGUUAAUGUGAUGGAACUGAAUGUGGUUGAUGAUAUAAUUGAAUGUAUUAGUUUAUUCAAUUUGUUCAAGGUAUGUUGUUUACAGUUCAAUUUGUUUAUGUUAAUCCCUUUCAUUUUCACCCCUUACCUUUAGCAAUUCCAACAAGAAAUGGAGGGAAAUGGUUCCAAAUUGGUGACGGGUCUGAGUCAUUGAAGAGGUCAAAAGGAUUGAUUUGAAUAUUAUACUCCUCAAUUUAACAGUUUUUUUAACGGAUAGAUUAUUUAAAAGCACCCAUAUUAACGUUAGGGACCAUAAGUGAUACAAAAAAACUUUAAGGAUGCAAUCUGAUAGUUUCGCAAACGUCAUGGACGUUUUGUGAUAAUAAGCCUAAAAAAAAUAUUGUUUUGUUUUUUUUAACUUUAGAGCUGAGCAUUUUUUUUCCCAAACUCAACAUUGCCGUUUCCAUUUUUGUAUUGCAGUUUCUAUUUAUACAUUGUAGUUUCCAUUUUUGUAUUGCAGUUUAUGUUUAUUCAUUGCAGUUUCUAUUUCUGCAUCGCAGUUUCCAUUUUAGUACUUUCAUCUUGGUUCCUCCAUUUUGCUUCAAUAAAAUUAUUUUUUGUUUAUGUAGCUGUUUUUUUUUUUAAUUUUAAACAUAAUUGAUAUCUACAUUGUAUUUUUGUUGCAAUUUCUGUUUUUAUUUGCGAUUUUUGUGUGAAUAUGUGUUGAAAUGAUUUUUUUUUUUAAACCGUUGAUUGUUUAUAUAAAUAUUGUAUAACUGAAUAAAUAUUACAAAAUAAAGUUUGGUGUAGUGGUUUGUGAGUGAGCCUUCCUCCUUUGAGGAUCAAGGUUUGAGUCCCUUCAAAGACACAAAAUCUUUUUUUUUAAAAGGUGAAUAAAGGGCAAUGGAGUUGGUCCCCUAACAGUGGUCGACAGCAGGAGUCCAACAGUGGAGUCCGGCGGCGGGAGGCUAACGGUGGUGGCCGGUUGGCUAGAUAUGGACAUAUGACAUAGUAUGCUUGCCUUAGAAGGAGUGGCAUUGUGUGUAAUUUUGAUAUUUUUUAAUGAUAUUUUUGUAAAAUUAGGUACUACAUUUUGGUCUUUGGCCUUAUACUAACUAGAUGAAAUUGUAUUCUUAUCUUUCAAAUUAAUAAAUUGUAUUGUGUUUUAAAACUAAAGCUCUCUUUAUUUAAUAUGCGUCAACUCUUGAACCAAUAAUAUUGUAUUUUGGGUUAUAUCGAGACAGUUUUCUAUUGUUUGAUGAAUUUUCCAAGAAAAGGAUGUGAACACAUGAAUUAGCACUGCCGAGUCAAGAUUACAAAGAAAGAUGACUCUCUCUGUAAAUUUUUAAAAACAUGUCACUUUCAAGACUCCAUAUAUAAUCUAUUCACAACUCCAUGGGCUCAAUGCUGCCGAGUGCUUGCUUUAGCUGGAGCCUGGAAGAAGAACCACUCAGACUCAGCAUUCACAUCCUGUUCGGUGACAGACACACCAAAAUGCCAAUUAUUUUGUGAAUCUCAAUAAUUAUACAACCAUGCUUGAUAUAUUUAGUGGUUGCUUUCACCAUUUCACUAGGAACAUAUUUGGGGUACUUCCGUACACAGAUGAAAAAUAAAUCAUACAUAUCAGUAUACUUACUUCCUCCACGUGAUAUUCCGCAUCAUAGUUAGGCAAUGGAAUGUUUUAAGACCUUCUGAUUCUGAUCAUCCAUAAUGUUGUUGAUCGCUCGUCAAACUUUAACACUUGAUGAGCCUGGUCACACCAACACUCAGAUGGGAUCGAUCGCACUAUAUAUACAUGUUCAUCAACCAUGAUUAAUUUGUAUUAGAUACACUUAGGGGAGAUUUUAAUUGCUUAUUUGGAAGAAAUGAAAUCAAGAUUGAAAUGGUGAAUGAUACACUAAGGCGAUAUUGUCCUAAAAAUGAAUGGCGCUAUGUAAACUAAGUCGACUACGAGAGAUUAAUUAUCAAUUUAAGCAAGCAAAACACUUAAUGUAAUUUUAUGUAAUCACAUAGUUUGGUACGGAUAUUUGGCAGUGCCUUUGUCUUCUCCGAAGCAGCAUUUGAUAUUUUACAGAGAUAUGCAACCUUCCAAUUCCAAGACUUUGCACUUAUUCAUAUACCUAGGCUAUCAAUCAUGCUGAUCAGCCUUAGGCUUUACCAGUUAAGAAUGUAGUAACUCUAUCGUUUUCUGCCCUUGACAAAAACCUCAUGCAAAUUGGUGGCUUAACCCCGGCAAGAGAAAGUAUUGAAGCAGGCAAAGUCCAAACCCCAUCGCCACAGAUCAAACCAGAAGCUACUGCAGGCACAAAAGCAUCUGCCUUGGCCUUGUUCACCCUUUCCCACAGAAACACUAUCAAGCUCCCAAUGCACAUGUCAAUGGCAAAAUACGAUCCCAAAUAGAAAGGUAUUGCCAUUGCCAUUGGUAGUGGAACGAAGCGUGCCCUCUUCUUACCAAUGCAAUCCUUGAUCACGUUUGUGAGAAUGGCCGCGCCAAAGAAGACGGUGCAAAGUAAGAGGCAGUGCUUGGGGAGAGAUUUGAAGCCUUCCACCCCGAGAAUAGCCAUGUUACGAUACACAACAGCAAGGGGAGCAGGAUAGGCACUUUUUGGGGUGCCGAGGUCAGUGAAGGCUUUGUAGAAGAGCCAAAACACACAGGGAGAAAUUACACAACCCAUUGCUGUACCGAUGACUUGGCUCACAAACAUUGAGCGGGGGGAAGCCAAGGUUAGAUAGCCGGUCUUGAAAUCUUGGGUUAGAUCAGAGGCUGUCGAGACAAUGUUCAUCAUAACUCCGCAUGCUGCGAGUCCAGCAAGAACACCACCAUGUGCAGAGCCGGCCCAUGCCCCGAUCAUGAAGAUGGCCACCUUUCCGUA